GAUUAACGCUGGCGGCGUGCAUAACACAUGCAAGUCGAACGAUGAAACUUUAAUGAACCCUUCGGGGAGAAUUAAAGCGGAUUAGUGGCGAACGGUUGAGUAACGCGUGAGUAACCUGCCUUACACAAGGGGAUAGCCUUUGGAAACGAAGAAUAAUACCCUAUAAAACCAUAAAAGCACAUGCAAUUAUGGUCAAAGUGAUAGCGGUGUAAGAUGGACUUGCGUCUGAUUAGCUAGUUGGUGAGAUAAAAGCCCACCAAGGCAACGAUCAGUAGCCGGCUUGAGAGAGUGUACGGCCACAUUGGGACUGAGACACGGCCCAGACUCCUACGGGAGGCAGCAGUGGGGAAUUUUGCACAAUGGGGGAAACCCUGAUGCAGCGACGCCGCGUGAUUUAGAAGGCCUUCGGGUUGUAAAAAUCUUUUGUAUAGGAAGAAAAUGACAGUACUAUACGAAUAAGGUCCGGCUAAUUACGUG
rnacentral:rRNA from 1 species